rnacentral:rRNA from 1 species
UACGUAGGGGGCAAGCGUUGUCCGGAUUUAUUGGGCGUAAAGCGCACGCAGGCGGUCAAUCAAGUUUUCGGUGACAGCUUCUUGCUUAACGAGGAGAGCGCCGGGAAAACUGGUUGACUUGAGGGUCAGAGAGGGACAUGGAAUUCCGGGUGGAGUGGUGAAAUGCGUAGAUAUCCGGAAGAACACCAAUGGCGAAGGCAGUGUCCUGGAUGACUCCUGACGCUCAGGUGCGAAAGCCAGGG